rnacentral:lncRNA from 1 species
CCUUGAUUGGGUAUGAGAACACUAGCUUGUGUUUCAGGUAAUAUCUUAUUACCCUUUCUUUUCCACCUUAGUUCAAUAUAUAGUACCUAAUAAUUUUUGGCUAACAUUUCUUGAUCUCUCUUACAAUGUCCUGAACUUGUGCUGUCAAAAUCUUUUGGAGUCUGUUCAGUACACAUAGAUCUCUACUUACUUUAUCUCUGAGUACCCCAUGACACAUACUGCUUACAAAUAUUAAAGAUUGUUCAGAGCAUCUGGAAUCUAAAUGCCUUCCCACACAGUGUAAACUUUGACAUGCUGUUACUUUGCAGAUUGGCACUGAGUACUCAGACAAGAUGAAGAAUUGGUUAAAGAGGAAAGCCCCAGACAAUGAAACUAAUUAGGCAGCUAAUUAGACUUACACUACCUAGCUCAAUAGUCUCCACCUCCUUGCACACAUGUGGCUACAUUUGGGGGAAGUCCUUCUAUCAAUUUUAUCACAGAGAGGCUAAAAGUCAUCAUAAGUCUUUACUCAGUGUGACAUGGUUCUGCAGGACACAGCCUUCCUGAAAAUGCCUUUGGCUCCAGCCCCAGGAUCCCAGAGGCAGGGUGUUGCAUGCUGUGGGGCUGUGCUGGUCACUGACAUUGUUCAUGUCCUGGAGCAUUUUUAAGGACUGUAAGUAAGCAGGAUGGGUGUC